rnacentral:rRNA from 1 species
AGUACGUUAGUAACUGAACGUACCUUGACGGUACCUUACCAGAAAGCCACGGCUAACUACGUGCCAGCAGCCGCGGUAAUACGUAGGUGGCAAGCGUUAUCCGGAAUUAUUGGGCGUAAAGCGCGCGUAGGCGGUCUCUUAAGUCUGAUGUGAAAGCCCCCGGCUCAACCGGGGAGGGUCAUUGGAAACUGGGAGACUUGAGUGCAGAAGAGGAGAGUGGAAUUCCAUGUGUAGCGGUGAAAUGCGCAGAGAUAUGGAGGAACACCAGUGGCGAAGGCGGCUCUCUGGUCUGUAACUGACGCUGAGGUGCGAAAGCGUG